AUCCCUACCAUGGCCCAGAUGAUGGUUCUACUAGUGUUUCUCCUCUCUUAUGGUUCAGGAUCCAGAGCCCAGUCUGUGGUGACUCAGCAGCCCUCACUGUCUGGGACUCCAGGACAGAGGGUCACCAUCUCCUGCACUGGAAGCAGCAACAAUAUUGGUUGGUAUAAUGUGCACUGGUACCAACAGCUCCCAGAGACAGCCCCCAAACUCCUCAUCUAUGGUGAUAGUAAUCGAUACUCAGGGGUCCCUGAUCGAUUCUCUGGAUCCAAGUCUGGCAACUCUGCUUCACUGACCAUCACUGGGCUCCAGCCUGAGGAUGAGGCUGACUAUUACUGUCAGUCUUAUGAUGACAAUAUUGGUGUCCCACAGUGUUCCAGGCUCAUGGGGAAGUAA